AGACCCCUUGAAGACGACGAGGUAGAUAGGGCAGAGGUGGAAGUGCAGCAAUGUAUGGAGCUGACUGCUACUAAUCGGUCGAGGGCUUGACCUA
rnacentral:rRNA from 1 species